rnacentral:rRNA from 1 species
GACAGAGGCCACGAGCGUUAGGCGGAAUCACUGGGCGUAAAGGGUGCGUAGGUGGCCGGUUAAGUCUGACGUGAAAUCUCCGAGCCUAACUCGGAAACUGCAUCGGAAACUAUCCGGCUCGAGGGUUGGAGGGGGGACUGGAAUACUUGGUGUAGCAGUGAAAUGCGUAGAUAUCAAGUGGAACACCAGUGGCGAAGGCGAGUCCCUGGACAACUCCUGACACUGAGGCACGAAAGCUAGGGGAGCAAACAGG